CAGAGGGUGCGAGCGUUGUUCGGAAUUACUGGGCGAAAAGCGCGCGCAGGCGGCCCUUUAAGUCUGUCGGUCAAAUGCCGGGGCUCAACCCCGGGCGUGCCGAGGAUACUGGAGGGCUGGAGACACGUAGAGGCAAGCGGAAUUCCGGGUGUAGCGGUGGAAUGCGUAGAGAUCCGGAAGAACACCGGAGGCGAAGGCGGCUUGCUGGGCGUGAUCUGACGCUGAGGCGCGAAAGCGUGGGGAGCGAACAGGAUUAGAUACCCUGGUAGUCCACGCCGUAAACGAUGGGCACUAGACGCUGGUGGGAUCGACCCCUUCGGUGUCGCAGCUAACGCGAUAAGUGCCCCGCCUGGGGAGUACGGCCGCAAGGCUG
rnacentral:rRNA from 1 species